rnacentral:rRNA from 1 species
UACAGAGGUGGCAAGCGUUGUUCGGAAUUACGUGGCGUAAAGGGCGCGAUAGGCGGCCUUCUAAGUUCGAACGUGAAACCCCAGGCUUAACCUGGGAAACUCGGCUCCGAGUACUGGAUGGCUUGAUCCGGGAGAGGGAUGGCAGAAGUUCCAGGGUGUGAGCGGUGAAAUGACGUAGAUAUCUGGAGGAAUACCGGUGGCGAAGGCGGCAUCCUGGACCGGCACUUG